AGUGAACGCUGGCGGUAGGCCUAACACAUGCAAGUCGAACGGCAGCACAGUAAGAGCUUGCUCUUACGGGUGGCGAGUGGCGGACGGGUGAGGAAUACAUCGGAAUCUACUUUUUCGUGGGGGAUAACGUAGGGAAACUUACGCUAAUACCGCAUACGACCUACGGGUGAAAGCAGGGGAUCUUCGGACCUUGCGCGAUUGAAUGAGCCGAUGUCGGAUUAGCUAGUUGGCGGGGUAAAGGCCCACCAAGGCGACGAUCCGUAGCUGGUCUGAGAGGAUGAUCAGCCAAACUGGAACUGAGACACGUUCCAGACUCCUACGGGAGGCAGCAGUGGGGAAUAUUGGACAAUGGGCGCAAGCCUGAUCCAGCCAUACCGCGUGGGUGAAGAAGGCCUUCGGGUUGUAAAGCCCUUUUGUUGGGAAAGAAAAGCAGCAGGUUAAUACCCCGCUGUUCUGACGGUACCCAAAGAAUAAGCACCGGCUAACUUCGU
rnacentral:rRNA from 1 species